ACGGGGUCGUCUGGCAGUAGCACACUCUAGUUACGUUUCUGAUUACAACCCUUUCAGUGGUAUCGAUUUUAUGCUCGUAUAUAUGAACUCCUAAACGAUUGUAUAACCUUUUUAUCAUAAUUUAAAAGAUCGUACAAUCUCUUACGCGGUUCCUUUUUAUCCGUCAAAAUAAGAUAUGACAAUCUCCUAUACCUAUCGGACAUAUUUACCUUUUUAGGUUUGGAACGGUUAAUGCUGAUUGCACGUCACGACAAUACUUCGUCGUUACACACUAUGGACUAGGUACACUGAUGAUGAAAUAUUUCAAAUUGAUUAAUGGACAUUACGCAUUAAUGUGUAACACGUUCAUAACUUACAAGACCGAUAUU